GGCUCAGAACGAACGCUGGCGGCAGGCUUAACACACGCAAGUCGAGCGCCCCGCAAGGGGAGCGGCAGACGGGUGAGUAACGCGUGGGAACGUACCAUUUGCUACGGAAUAACUCAGGGAAACUUGUGCUAAUACCGUAUGUGCCCGAAAGGGGAAAGAUUUAUCGGCAAAUGAUCGGCCCGCGUUGGAUUAGCUAGUUGGUUGGGGUAAAGGCCUACCAAGGCGACGAUCCAUAGCUGGUCUGAGAGGAUGAUCAGCCACACUGGGACUGAGACACGGNCCAGACUCCUACGGGAGGCAGCAGUGGGAAAA
rnacentral:rRNA from 1 species